rnacentral:rRNA from 1 species
UUCUAUAGCUACACUGCCACGGGCUAUGAUCUUGUCAGAUCUCAUAAGAUAAGCAAGGCUGGGCCCAGUCAGUACUUGGAGACCACCAAGGAAAAAAUAAGUCUGAAGAAC